rnacentral:rRNA from 1 species
GACGAACCGUGCGAACGUUGUUCGGAAUCACUGGGCUUAAAGGGCGCGUAGGCGGACCGCAAAGUCAGAGGUGAAAUCCUCCAGCUUAACUGGAGAACUGCCUUUGAUACUGGCGGUCUGGAGUAGGGUAGGGGCAUGCGGAACUGAUGGUGGAGCGGUGAAAUGUGUUGAUAUCAUCAGGAACUCCGGUGGCGAAAGCGGCGUGCUGGACCCUUACUGACGCUGAGGCGCGAAAGCCAGGGGAGCAAACGGG